rnacentral:rRNA from 1 species
ACAAUGGAUCUCUUGGUUCUCGCAACGAUGAAGAACGCAGCAAAAUGCGAUAAGUAGUGUGAAUUGCAGAAUACGUGAAUCAUCGAAUCUUCGAACGCAUAUUGCACUUUUCUAGUUUACUAGAAAAGUAUGUCUGUUUGAGU